UCUGCGCAGGCACCCUGGCCUGCUGCAGCCCAUUCUCACAGGGAGUGGGGCAAUCCGCCCCACUACACAGCCGUACUCAGAGGCCCAUCACAGCCAUAGCCACACUAGCAUUACAUCAUCUCAUUAGCAUGGCCACUCCCAUAUUUGUAACAUAAUAUCUCUCUUCACAAGGCGGAAUGGUGGGGAAAGGGAGACCAGGGAGCCAGGAGAGGGUGGUCAACAGGGAAGUGGUAUAUUUACCAGCACAAAGGAAACAAGGCCUGAAAUGAUAUAGUACCAGCAGAACAGCUCCUGUUGGUGGAUUGUUACAUUGCCCCAAGAAAUGGCUGUGGAGUGGAGCCUUGACUUCCGAUUAGACCACAAAAGGAAGUCAUCCAAAGGUGUAAAUUUCAGCGAUACAGGAACCUCAAAGGGCAGUAACUCCUAUACAAGUGUCACGUUUCUGAUUUUCCUUGGGUUGACUGGAUAAUCAGUAGGUCUUCGAGGUGAUACUCUGUUCUGCUGCACCUUAUAAGCUCUUCAGCCACACAAAAGAAAAUAGUAGUCCAUGGAUGAAGCUAAGGAUAAAACUGGUGCACAGCUCACUUCAGGAAUCGCUCUGUUGGACGUUGUGGAUGAUCAGCUCUGAGGUAAAAGUCUCACCACUGGUAUAAUUUUGCUGAGUGAAGCGAUCUAGUGUUACAACAGCUCCUCCAAGGAGGACAUAGGCCUAAAUCAAUAUGAGCUUCCAUUGUGCCAGGCGAUGGAGAAACAUCAUAAGAAACAGCCCUGCCAUGAACUCUGCAACCUAAAUAGAAAAGGAGGUAUUCUUACCCCUAUUUUUCCGAUUGGGAACAAAGGACGUCCGUGGAAGAACCAGGAACUAAGCCCAGCUCUCUGAGUCUAAGACUAAUGCUUUAACCACAGAAUUAGCAUUCCUCUCUAAUGUACAGUGUUCCCUAAUUCAGCAAAUACACUUCAAUACCAAUUUCA